AUGAACGCUGGCGGCGUGCCUAAUACAUGCAAGUCGAGCGAACGGACGAGAAGCUUUCUUCUCUGAUGUUAGCGGCGGACGGGUGAGUAACACUUGGUUAACCUACCUAUAAGUCUGUGUUAACUUCGGGAAACCGGUGCUAAUACCGGAUGAUAUUUUUAACCGCAUGGUUCAAAAGUUAAAGACGGUCUUGCUUUCACUUAUAGAUUGAUCCGCGCUGCAUUAGAUAGUUGGUAAGGUAACGGCUUACCAAGGCAACGAUGCAUAGCCGACCUGAUAGGGUGAUCGGCCACACUGGAACUGAGACACGGACCAGACGACUACGGGAGGCAGCAGUAGGGAAUCUUCCGCAAUGGGCGAAAGCCUGACGGAGCAACGCCGCGUGAGUGAUGAAGGUCUUCGGAUCGUAAAACUCUGUUAUUAGGGAAGAAAAUAUGUGUAAGUAACUGUGCACAUCUUGACGGUACCUAAUCAGAAAGCAACGGCUAACUACGUG
rnacentral:rRNA from 1 species